rnacentral:rRNA from 1 species
UGCUUAGGGCUACACACGUGCUACAAUGGGUAGUACAGAGGGUUGCCAAACCGUAAGGUGGAGCUAAUCCCUUAAAGCUACUCUCAGUUCGGAUUGUAGGCUGAAACUCGCCUACAUGAAGCUGGAGGUACUAGUAAUCGCAGAUCAGAAUGAUGCGGUGAAUGCGUUCCCGGGUCUUGUACACACCGCCCGUCACACCAUGGGAGUUGGAGUCGCCCGAAGCAGAAUAUCCAACCUUUUGGAAGAAGUCGUCGAAGGUGGAAUCAAUAACUGGG